GAUGAACACUGGCGGCGUGCCUAAUACAUGCGAGUCGAGCGAACAGACGAGGAGCUUGCUCCUCUGACGUUAGCGGCGGACGGGUGAGUAACACGUGGAUAACCUACCUAUAAGACUGGGAUAACUUCGGGAAACCGGAGCUAAUACCGGAUAAUAUAUUGAACCGCAUGGUUCAAUAGUGAAAGACGGUUUUGCUGUCACUUAUAGAUGGAUCCGCGCCGCAUUAGCUAGUUGGUAAGGUAACGGCUUACCAAGGCAACGAUGCGUAGCCGACCUGAGAGGGUGAUCGGCCACACUGGAACUGAGACACGGUCCAGACUCCUACGGGAGGCAGCAGUAGGGAAUCUUCCGCAAUGGGCGAAAGCCUGACGGAGCAACGCCGCGUGAGUGAUGAAGGUCUUCGGAUCGUAAAACUCUGUUAUUAGGGAAGAACAAAUGUGUAAGUAACUAUGCACGUCUUGACGGUACCUAAUCAGAAAGCCACGGCUAACUACGUG
rnacentral:rRNA from 1 species